AUUUUUAAAAAUAUUUUAUUUAUUUUGAUUAAAGCGUAAUUAACUAAUUAAAAAGAUGACUUAACUUACUUUCAUAUUUCAUCCUAUUUUCCAUCAUAUUUUUAUGCUUAAAAUUUAAUGAUUAGGUUCAAAGAGCUUUUAUUUGCUUUUGUGUGUGGACUGUGGUCAGGAACAAUUUAAUUUGAUCAAAGCAAUUAAGAGUGAUUUUUACACCAUUUGGAUGGAAAUGGAAUCAAAUGGAGGAUGAAAAUAAAAGGAAGAUCAAGAAUUGAACCAAAAGGUCACAAGUCAGACCUGUAUGUACGGGAUGGAUCCAGACGGCGGUGUGGCUCGUGCAGUCCGGUGAAAAAGCUAAGAACGUUGUCUCUAAGGAUAAUCUUUUGACAGUAAUUGGAGAUAACAGUCCACAUUUUGAGUUUCUGCAAUUACUCUUCAAGAAGUGAUCAUUUAAUAUAUUUAAUUUCCAGCAUAUUCACUCUAUGCCCAAGUGUCUCCCACUUGACAGAUUUCAGCAUUUUGAGCAUUCUUGUGUUCAACAUCUGUUGGAUAUAUAGAUUGAGACAAUUGGAUGGUGGAAACAAAAGGGAUCAGAGAUCAAGAAUUGUACCAAAAAGCUUCAAGUUAGAAUUGUACGUGUACAGGAUGUAAAGAGUCACAUAUAAGUACAUGAGCCAUCCAGUGUGCUGAAAGUCAAGGAACAAAGCAAGGUGGACCCCUAUGUAUAGAGUAAAAGAAUUGAUUUUGAGGUCUGAAGAAUGAUUGGAGGUGUACGUAUAGUAUGCACAACAAGUGUAUAAGAGCAGGAUGGUUGGAGUAGGAGAAGACACAACAAGCAAGUUGCAUUUCUGAGGAGAAUCAACAAUUAAGAAGAAUAAGAAGAUGGAUGGUGAAAAUUGCAGGUUUGAGGUUAAGUGAGUUUAAAAGAAUUCACUUUGAGUUCCCAAGAAUAGUUGAAGAAGUAUUAGAGAUGUAUGCAGAAUUCAAUCCUAUAGAGGUACAUAGUCUAUUUGACAUACACAGAAACAAAGAUGGGGAAGUGCGUUUCUUUCCAUCCAAAAGGGGGUUUCAGCAAGAUGAACCAACUUAAAAAUAAAAAGUUUGUUAAUCACAAGAGUUGCUCUUUUUUGGAUAAAUCACACUAGGAAGACUGUGUGACGGACUAGCUCAAGCUUGAAAAGACGGGAAAAGUUGUAUUAUCCCACCUGCAAAAGGCAUGCAUGUUGUGAGUGAAGGUGACAUCGGGAAAAGUUGGUAUCUUCAAAGCUUACCCUUCCGCCUUUGCCAUCUUUAUAAUUUGAGAAGUCUCAUAUAUAUUAAAUGAUUGGCAAAAUCUAAGAGCACUACUAUAACUUCCUCUUAGUUUGGAGCAUCUCUUUGUAAAAAAUUGUUUCAUUAAUUGGAAAAAUAGAAGGUAUACCAAACUAGUGUGCUGAAAGUCAAGGAACAAAGCAAGGUGGACCCUCUAUACAAGAUAAAAGAAUUGAUUUUGAGGUCUCAACAAUGAUUGAAGGUGUACGUAUGCACAAAAGUGUAUAAUUAAGAGUAGGACGGCUGGAGUAGGAGAAGACACAUAACAUGUAUUUGAAUUGAAGAAUCAACAAUUCAGAAGAAUAAGAAGAUGGUGAGAGCGGAUGCACAUUUCCAUCCUCUACACCUACUUUGUCCAUUUCAAAUACUUAGAACAGAGAUGUGGUUGAUGGUAGACAACUAGACAUGCAGGUUGAUAUACAAGUGCUUUAAUAUUUUAACCUUGCAUUUAAGCUUAAUUAUUUUGCUUGCCAUUUGUUAUGAUUUUA